CUAGACUUUCUUUCAAGCCGU
rnacentral:siRNA from 1 species